rnacentral:rRNA from 1 species
UACGUAGGGUGCAAGCGUUGUCCGGAAUUAUUGGGCGUAAAGAGCUCGUAGGCGGUUUGUCGCGUCUGCUGUGAAAACCCGAGGCUCAACCUCGGGCCUGCAGUGGGUACGGGCAGACUAGAGUGCGGUAGGGGGAGAUUGGAAUUCCUGGUGUAGCGGUGGAAUGCGCAGAUAUCAGGAGGAACACCCAAUGGCGAAGGCAGAUCUCUGGGCCGUAACUGACGCUGAGGAGCGAAAGCAUGGGGGAGCGAACAGG